rnacentral:rRNA from 1 species
CCCUUAGAUGUCCUGGGCCGCACGCGCGCUACACUGAUGCAUGCAACGAGUUUAUAACCUUGGCCUGAAAGGUCUGGGUAAUCUUUUGAACGUGCAUCGUGAUAGGGAUAGAUUAUUGCAAUUGUUAAUCUUGAACGAGGAAUUCCUAGUAAACGCAGAUCAUCAAUCUGCAUUGAUUACGUCCCUGCCCUUUGUACACACCGCCCGUCGCACCUACCGAUUGGAUGGUCCGGUGAAGCCUCGGGAUUGUGGUUCUUGCCGCUUUACUGUGGCGUGACCGCGAGAACUUGUCUAAACCUUAUCAUCUAGAGGAAGGUGAAGUCGUAACA